rnacentral:rRNA from 1 species
CCAGACUCCUACGGGAGGCAGCAGUGAGGAAUAUUGGUCAAUGGUCGGGAGACUGAACCAGCCAAGCCGCGUGAGGGAUGAAGGUACAGAGUAUCGUAAACCUCUUUUGUCAGGGAGCAAAGGGCGCCACGUGUGGCGUUUUGCGAGUACCUGAAGAAAAAGCAUCGGCUAACUCCGUGCCAGCAGCCGCGGUAAUACGGAGGAUGCGAGCGUUAUCCGGAUUUAUUGGGUUUAAAGGGUGCGCAGGCGGCACGGCAAGCCGGCGGUCAAAUCGCGGGGCUCAACCCCGCCCAGCCGUCGGAACUGCCGGGCUAGAGUGGGCGAGAAGUGCGCGGAAUGCGUGGUGUAGCGGUGAAAUGCAUAGAUAUCACGCAGAACUCCGAUUGCGAAGGCAGCGCACCGGCGCCCUACUGACGCUCAGGCACGAAAGCGUGGGUAUCGAACAGGAUUAGAUACCCUAGUAAA